rnacentral:tRNA from 1 species
UUUUCUGUAGUGUAGUUGUUAACACGUUCGCCUCACACGCUUAAAGUUCUCUGGUUGGAUACCAGAUGGAAAUG